UAUCAGGCUCCUGUCAAUAGACUCUUGU
rnacentral:piRNA from 1 species